UAAGAUGUUUGUGUAAAUUUCCAGUCGAAUUUUCGUCGAAUUUAAUCGCUUUAUUUACACACAAUACACAAUUCACAUCUGGCUUAAAAAAUUGGCCAUUUAAAACAAAAUGUAGUUCCUUUUUUUUGAGCUUUCUUUUACGGACAUUUUUCGUCUCUUAUGGACAGUUUUGGGUUCUUUCACAAAUUGUUAAGGUAUGAUCAAAUAUGAGUGUUUGAUUUAAGCUAAUAAUAACCGAACAGCAUUUGCGUGGAAAAUUGUGAAAUUAGAAUCGAAACAUAAAUAAUUUCCUAUGGUGGAAUCAGCUUAUUAUUAUUAUUGUGGAGUUUGAUUAUUUUGUUCAAAGGAAAAUGAUCAAAAAGUCUAUUUAGUAAUAAAUAAAGCUAACACAAAUAUUUUAGUACCUUUUUACCUAGCUUACCUAAUUCUCUAGGUAUACAAAAAUUUGUACCUAGGUAAGGUAAAAGGUAGCAUAAUAUUUGUAUACCUAGGUAAGGUAAAAGAUACCACAAAAUGGUACCUAGGUAUGUACCUAGGUACAAGUAUCUAGGUACUCCCCAACACUGACGACGAUAUGCCGAUACACUCACGGCCCCGUAGAUUUUUUUAUGUUAAACGUUGCAUAAUAGACAAACCGAUCAACGGCUUAAGACGUCAUCAUCCAAGUCAGAAUACAGCGAUCCAGUUGUUCUAGUCAAAAAACCUAACGGAUCUGAUCGCUUGUGUGUCGGGUAUAGGCGAAUUAACAUAAUUAUUAUCAGAUACCACUUUCCCCUACCUUUUAUCGACGAUCAACUACAAAAUUAAAGGGUUUUCAGUUUUAUCGACUUAAAGAAUGUAUUCU